rnacentral:rRNA from 1 species
GACAGAGGGGGCAAGCGUUGCUCGGAAUCACUGGGCGUAAAGGGCGCGUAGGCGGGAUGGCAAGUCGGUCGUGAAAUCCUUCGGCUCAACCGAAGAACGUCGGCCGAUACUGCCGUUCUUGAGGGAUGCAGAGGAGAUUGGAAUUCCCGGUGUAGCGGUGAAAUGCGUAGAGAUUGGGAAGAACACCGGUGGCGAAAGCGCUCUGCUGGGCCUUAUCUGACACUCAGGGACGAAAGCUAGGGGAGCGAAUGGG